rnacentral:tRNA from 1 species
UCCUUGGUGGUCCAGUGGCUAAGACUUUUCACUCCCAAUGCAGGGGCCCGGGUUUGAUUCCUGGUCAGGAAA